CCUACGGGUGGCAGCAGUGAGGAAUAUUGGUCAAUGGGCGAGAGCCUGAACCAGCCAAGUCGCGUGAGGGAAGACGGUCCUAUGGAUUGUAAACCUCUUUUGCCGGGGAGCAAAAAGCGGUACGUGUACCGCAUCGAGAGUACCCGGAGAAAAAGCAUUGGCUAACUCCGUGCCAGCAGCCGCGGUAAUACGGAGGAUGCGAGCGUUAUCCGGAUUUAUUGGGUUUAAAGGGUGCGUAGGCGGAGUGUCAAGUCAGCGGUAAAAUUUCGGGGCUCAACCCCGUCGUGCCGUUGAAACUGACGCCCUUGAGUGAGUGAGAAGUAAGCGGAAUGCGUGGUGUAGCGGUGAAAUGCAUAGAUAUCACGCAGAACGCCGAUUGCGAAGGCAGCUUACCGGCGCUCAACUGACGCUGAGGCACGAAAGUGCGGGUAUCGAACAGGAUUAGAUACCCGGGUAGUC
rnacentral:rRNA from 1 species